UUGGGGUAAAUAGUUGAAACCAUGGCCUCAAAAGAAGUCUGACAGUUUUACUUGGAGAAGGUCUGACAUUUACCUAUAUUGCCAGCAUAUACUCGGAUGUCUACCAACUAUAUCAGACCGACGAUGCACAACUGAUGAUCCUCGAUGACCUAUCCAAUAAUAUGACUAUUUAUAAAUCAAUGAUUAUAUCGGUUUUUUACUGAUUGUAUUACUUGGCUGAGGACCGAGAAUCUUAGAAAAAACUAUAACACACAACACGAAAGAUCAGAGGUCAGAGAACAGUUACAAUGCACAAUAGAAGUAUUAACUACUCAUAAUUGAGAGGUCGUAGGCU
rnacentral:lncRNA from 1 species